rnacentral:rRNA from 1 species
UUGUCCUACGGGGGGCAGCAGUAGGGAAGCUUCCACAAUGGUCGAAAGCCUGAUGGAGCAACGCCGCGUGGGUGAAGAAGGUCUUCGGAUCGUAAAACCCCUAUUUUAGAGAAGCCAGUGCGUGAGCGUAACUGUCCACGUUCCCCAGGCAUCUAACCAGAAAGCCACUCUUAACCCCGCGCCAGCAGCCGCGGUAAUACGUAGGUGGCAAGCGUACUCCGGAUUUAUUGGGCGUAAAGGGAACGCAGGCGGUCUUUUAAGUCUGAUGUGAAAGCCUUCGGCUUAACCGGAGUAGCCAAUUGGAA